rnacentral:misc_RNA from 1 species
AAAUAACAUUCGUGAUUUUUUUCGCGCAUUUGAGUUUUCCAGUAUUUAUAAAUAAAUGCUGGUAACUUUAAAAUUAUUUAUAACUUGGUACAAGUUGAAAACGUGCUAUAUGUGUGGUUCGCUGACAACUUGUCCAUCUUUAUAUAUUAUGCGCGUGCUUGGUUUUUUUAAAGCUGUGUGCGAGUAUAUAUUUUUU